rnacentral:rRNA from 1 species
AGAGUUUGAUCAUGGCUCAGGACGAACGCUGGCGGCGUGCUUAAUACAUGCAAGUCGAGCGAGGUUACUGUUUCGGAUCCCUUCGGGGUGAAGAAGCUUUAACCUAGCGGCGGACGGGUGAGUAACGCGUGGGUAACCUACCCCAAAGUCCGGGAUAACAGCGGGAAACCGCUGCUAAUACCGGAUGUCUUUACCUUGGGGCAUCUUGAGGUAAAGAAAGGUAACGCUUUGGGAUGGGCCCGCGUCCCAUUAGCUAGUUGGUGAGGUAACGGCUCACCAAGGCGACGAUGGGUAGCCGGCCUGAGAGGGUGGACGGCCACACUGGGACUGAGACACGGCCCAGACUCCUACGGGAGGCAGCAGUAGGGAAUAUUGCGCAAUGGACGGAAGUCUGACGCAGCGACGCCGCGUGAGCGAUGAAGGUCUUCGGAUCGUAAAGCUCUGUCCUUGGGGAAGAAGGCGAAAGCUUGACGGUACCCAAGAAGAAAGCCCCGGCUAACUACGUGCCAGCAGCCGCGGUAAUACGUAGGGGGCGAGCGUUGUCCGGAAUUACUGGGCGUAAAGGGUGCGUAGGCGGCCCUUUAAGUCGGAUGUGAAAGCCCGCGGCUUAACCGCGGAAUGGCAUUCGAAACUGGAGGGCUUGAGUGUCGGAGAGGGUAGUGGAAUUCCCAGUGUAGCGGUGAAAUGCGUAGAUAUUGGGAGGAACACCAGUGGCGAAGGCGACUACCUGGACGAUAACUGACGCUGAGGCACGAAAGCUAGGGGAGCAAACAGGAUUAGAUACCCUGAUAGUCCUAGCCGUAAACGAUGGGUACUAGGUGUGGGUGGUUUCGAUACCAUCCGUGCCGUAGUUAACGCAUUAAGUACCCCGCCUGGGGAGUACGUGCGCAAGCAUGAAACUCAAAGGAAUUGACGGGGGCCCGCACAAGCGG